UUUAAACUUUCCCUUUAAGGUGUUGAUGUUGUAGCGAAACCGUGUAGUUCGUCGACCUGAAGGAGAACCAAACUUUAAUGUGUUCUAUCAACUUCUUGCUGGACUAGAUAACAAUCUUAGAAGAUUCACUGAUGGCGAAUGGUCAAGCAUUCUUUCCGUUCUUUGCAGCAUUUACCAUUUGGAUCAGCAGAUUGACCAAUUCAUGCUGGUAUGUAUAUGCACUGUCGUACUGUCUAGUAAGGCUAACCAGCGUAGAGUCGACCGAGCACCAUCAAAUGUACCCUGGCAAGAGAACAGCUUACAUUAGCAUUCUUUUUAUGUUACAAGAGAUGAAGACUGAUUUAUAAUGAAAUGUAUCUCAUAACAACCCCUGCGAAAAAAAUUACAUCAAACCUUGACUAUGAUAUAUCCAUGGACAUAGUUCUCUACAGCAAAUUGCUUCUUGAUUGAUGGUGAAUGUUCUGUAUAUUUUCCUAAUAUUUAUUAUCUUACGAAAUUAGUUAAUUUGUUAAACUUCAUGUACUGGGUAUUCAAGGCAAAUCGAUAAUAUACAACCAUUUUGUAAUAUUGAGGAAUUUAACAAUGAAAUAAUUGUUAUGUAAUGAUCUUUGGAGUAUUUGAUAUAUAUCUUAAAAUGUUGAUCUCCAAACUUUACAUCUUGCACAUAUUUUCGAUGCAAUAUCGUUUGCACUAAUGUCCGUUUGCACUAAUGUCCGAUUGAACUAACUCCGAUCAAUCAUUAGUGCAAAUAAUACGACAUUUUAUUUUCUUUUGCCUUUUGUUUAUUGUAUCUUUAUUUUCUUGAGUAAAUUGUAUUACUUAUGCCAGACAGAAAUGAUUUAGUUAUUAUAUUUUCAAACCAAAU